GCCCUCUCACAACUUAUAGACCUGGAGAUGGGAGAUAGGGACCCCUGUAGAGAGAGCUCAUGAGGCUACAUCAUUGCAGCAGUGUUGGAUGUAGAGGAAGGGAAGAAUAUAGGAGAGGUAGAAUUGGCACGAAUCAGUGGGCAACUAAAUGUCCAAGGCUCCUUGGUGCCCAGGAGUGAGGGCAGACAGGUGGAGCUUAGGAUGCAUCUGCCCUCAAGGUUGUUUCUCGGGUCCAGGCCACAGGGCCCUUCAAGAGAGGAUGAAUCCUAGUUAUAAAGACUGGCUCCUGCUGGGGGAUGGCCUUGCUGAGAUUUCCUAGGUCAUGGGGUAGGGGAUGAGGAAUAAAGGGGUGACUUAAGUUCGGUCUGGUGGACUUCCCCGACCACCAACAGACCAUCAGUGCAGGUGGAAACCUCUGCUGUGAAUGAAAGACCAGUUUAUGCCUCAGCAGUGGGGAACAGUCUAAUGGGAUGGUUGCAUAAAGUGGCCCCUUUAGGGAGCUUUUCCAACCAUAAAGUUACGCAUUUCUUAGAUGUAACUUCCUAGGAAGUUUGAAGAGGAAGAGGAAGGAGGAAUAUGGACAAAUGGAAGCUCAUCAGUCUAACAGCAGAAGAAGUGUAUUUAAAAAGUAAAAUUGAGAGCAGGUGCCAUGCUGUGGGCUUGGAAUUCCAACUACCUUCAGGAGGCUGAAGCAGAAGGAUGGAGAGUUUCAGGACAGCUCAGCAACUUAGCGAGGCCCUGUCUCAAAUUAAAAAAAAAAAAAAAAGAAUUUUACCUUCAUAGCAUGUCUUUUAGUGAUGUUACAAACCCUGUGUUCAUUCC
rnacentral:lncRNA from 1 species